rnacentral:sRNA from 10 species
CAACUCUCAACCUCAUUUUUAUCCCAAUUGAACCAUAGGAGAGAGAAAAAAAGAAAGAAUAAAAGAAUAAAAAAAAGAAAAACGAAGAGAAAAGAUUAGAGGACGCUUGGCCUUGGAAGAGAAAAGAGAAAACUAAGAGGCUUUCCUCCCCACCCACACACCAUUGUUGAGGUUUGAAAAGAUUUUGGUGGUUUGCCUUGUGGGUUUCAAGCAAUGAUCAAUAAAGAUCCACGAAACCCAAGGCAUGCAUGUGGAAGAAUCUUGGAAUGCAUGGUUAUUUUGAGUAGAUUAAGUGUUUUCAAGAUCGAAGGUAGUUGGAUCCUAAGUCAAGGUGCUCCCUCCUAUUCAUCUUUCGGUAGGUUCACUACGACUCUAAUGAUAGCACCCAUGGCCAGAGUCACUCCGCUAGUUGUCAAUGGUCUGUUGUAUGGUUAUAAGUGAUGGCUUAAUGUAAAUUGUGAGAUUUGUUGUGAACUUUGUAUGUACUUGGUUUUCAUGAUUUAAAUUUUCAUAAGAUGGUUAUUAGAAAUUACAAGUUUUUGAUCCUAAAGAAAAAGAAGUGAUAGAUGGACUACUGACGGAUUUACAUAGAGAAGCUUGCUUGGGACUGGUGGGCUAUGCCUAUUAGGCCUAUACGUCGGUCAUGGCCGGAGGUUUUGGGCUGGGACAGUAAUUGUGAGAAAAUGUUUGUGGCAGCAAAGAUCUAUAAGGUUUGAAGGAGAAUAAUUGCAUGCAUGUCACCAAACCCUUGUUAAAUGGUGAAAAUUAAGGUAUAAAGAAGAGGGCUUGGGAGGAAUAUUGAAGUGCAUGAAAGAUCAAAGCCAUUUUAAAGGUAAGCAUGCAAUGAAAAUUGAUUGUGCUAUCUUGGGUACGAUUGGGAAGAAUGUUUAUACUAGUUAUGGUUUUGAUGUUGUGUGAAUGUAAUGUUUUGAAAAAGUAAAA